UAUUGAGAAAAGCAAAUUCAGCGAAAGUUGGAGACGCAAAGCCACGGGCCUAAAGCAAUUAUGCGAUGGCAGCCGGUUGCCGCA
rnacentral:ncRNA from 1 species